rnacentral:rRNA from 1 species
ACUAGAGUAGCACUCGCAUAUCAAUAAGCGGAGGAAAAGAAACUAACAAGGAUUCCCCUAGUAACGGCGAGUGAAGCGGGAAGAGCUCAAAUUUGAAAUCUUAAAGGGUUUCCCUUUACGAAUUGUAGUUUAAAGAAGUGUUUUCUGUUGAGGUUUUGGUAAAAGUUCUUUGGAAUAGGACAUCAUAGAGGGUGAGAAUCCCGUAUUUGACCUUUACCUUUCAACUUUGUGAUACACUUUCAAAGAGUCGGAUUGUUUGGGAAUGCAGUCCAAAAUGGGUGGUAAAUUUCAUCUAAAGCUAAAUAUUGGCGAGAGACCGAUAGCGAACAAGUACCGUGAGGGAAGAUGAAAAGAACUUUGAAAAGAGAGUUAAACAGUACAUGAAAUUGUCAAAAGGGAAGCGUUUGACACCAGUGUUGUUUUUCUGAAAAUCAAUUAAAGAACUGUUUAUGCUAAGCUUGUUUAGACUUUAUCAGCUAUCUGUUUAGUUUUGAGCUUUUCUUUAAUGCACUUUUCAGUUAACAAGUCAACAUCAAUUUCUUUUGCUGUAAAAAAGCUUGAGGAAGGUGGCUUGAGAUUCGUCUUAAGUGUUUAUAGCCUCUUGCCUAUGCAGUCGGAGAGAUUGAGGUCUGCAGCGUAGAUCCUUCGGGGCUAAAUGCAUUUGUGCUAAGUUAUAGCAUUUUAUAGACAACUUGUUGACUAUGAUUUGUCUUGUAGCUUACUCGCUUAUGUUAUUUUACCUACGCUUAGGAUGUUGAGUCAUCACACAUCUCU